UUGUUUUUAUCUGUUGUUGGUGUUAAUAAUUUAUCAUAUAUUUUUAUAUGCACUGUGACUAUCUUUUGCUCAUAAUAAACAUUCAUUUAUUAAGUUCUGCCUUUGUCUGGUUAAGAAUCACGUUACCUGAAGAGACUAGUUAGUAUUUUUUAUAAUUCUUUAAAUAUUGUGCUAAGUAAUAUUUGGUGGGUUUUAUUAUUGAUUUACCUGGGGGACCAAGGCACCCCAUUUAUAAAUUGUCUUGGUGGUGGCAGCGUUAAAUUGUUAUAUUAUGUUUAAGUGUGGGUGGUGUUAAAGGAGGAUUUUGUCAUUAUUUCCGGUCUAGUGCAGACAAAUAGUGAACAUUAACCCUUUCACAACCACAACUAAGUCACGCGCACUCUUGGAGUAGUGUGCGUUCGUGACACCCAGCUCUGUGUAUUGUAUGACAGUCUCUGUAUUGUACCCAGCUCUGUGUAUUGUAUGGCAGGCUCUGUAUUGUAUCCAGCUCUGUGUAUUGUAUGGCAGGCUCUGUAUUGUACCAGCUCUGUGUAUUGUAUGGCAGGCUCUGUAUUGUACCCAGCUCUGUGUAUUGUAUGGCAGUCUGUGUAUUGUACCCAGCUCUGUGUAUUGUAUGGCAGUCUCUGUAUUGUAUCCAUCUCUGUGUAUUGUAUGGCAGUCUCUGUAUUGUACCCAGCUCUGUGUAUUGUAUGGCAGGCUCUGUAUUGUACCCAGCUCUGUGUAUUGUAUGGCAGUCUCUGUAU